UACGUAGGUGGCGAGCGUUGUCCGGAUUUACUGGGCGUAAAGGGAGCGUAGGCGGACUUUUAAGUGAGAUGUGAAAUACUCGGGCUCAACUUGAGUGCUGCAUUUCAAACUGGCGUGCUGGAGUGCCGGAGAGGUAAGCGGAAUUCCUAGUGUAGCGGUGAAAUGCGUAGAUAUUAGGAGGAACACCAGUGGCGAAGGCGGCUUACUGGACAGUAACUGACGUUGAGGCUCGAAAGCGUGGGGAGCAAACAGG
rnacentral:rRNA from 1 species